rnacentral:rRNA from 1 species
AGAGUUCGAUUAUGGCUCAGGAUGAACGCUGGCGGCGUGCUUAACACAUGCAAGUCGAACGAAGCACUUUACUUGAUCUCCUUCGGGAUUGAUUGUUCUGUGACUGAGUGGCGGACGGGUGAGUAACGCGUGGAUAACCUGCCUCACACAGGGGGAUAACAGUUGGAAACGGCUGCUAAUACCGCAUAAGCGCACAGCACCGCAUGGUGCAGUGUGAAAAACUCCGGUGGUGUGAGAUGGAUCCGCGUCUGAUUAGCUGGUUGGCGGGGUAACGGCCCACCAAGGCGACGAUCAGUAGCCGGCCUGAGAGGGCGACCGGCCACAUUGGGACUGAGACACGGCCCAG